UACGUAGGGGGCAAGCGUUGUCCGGAUUUAUUGGGCGUAAAGAGCGUGUAGGCGGCUUCACAGGUCCGCUGUGAAAACUCGAGGCUCAACCUCGAGACGUCGAUGGAAACCGUAUGGCUAGAGUCCGGAAGAGGAGAGUGGAAUUCCUGGUGUAGCGGUGAAAUGCGCAGAUAUCAGGAAGAACACCCGUGGCGAAGGCGGCUCUCUGGGACGGUACUGACGCUGAGACGCGAAAGCGUGGGGAGCGAACAGG
rnacentral:rRNA from 1 species